rnacentral:lncRNA from 1 species
AUGGAGAGUCUCCAGAGGAAGAGACUGGAUGCAGCGCUUUGUAUGGAGUUCCAGAUUUCAGAUGAUUCAUCUGGCCUGAAAGACGUGUCUAGAAACUUGCUAUGAUUUAUAGCAGUUAAUAUACUUUUGGUGGUAAUAAAGUGGCUUGAUCAGGUUCUGCUCUUCUGUUG